rnacentral:rRNA from 1 species
GACGAACGCUGGCGGCGUGCUUAACACAUGCAAGUCGAACGGAAAGGCCCUGCUUUUGUGGGGUGCUCGAGUGGCGAACGGGUGAGUAACACGUGAGUAACCUGCCCUUGACUUUGGGAUAACUUCAGGAAACUGGGGCUAAUACCGGAUAGGAGCUCCUGCUGCAUGGUGGGGGUUGGAAAGUUUCGGCGGUUGGGGAUGGACUCGCGGCUUAUCAGCUUGUUGGUGGGGUAGUGGCUUACCAAGGCUUUGACGGGUAGCCGGCCUGAGAGGGUGACCGGCCACAUUGGGACUGAGAUACGGCCCAGACUCCUACGGGAGGCAGCAGUGGGGAAUAUUGCACAAUGGGCGGAAGCCUGAUGCAGCAACGCCGCGUGCGGGAUGACGGCCUUCGGGUUGUAAACCGCUUUCGCCUGUGACGAAGCGUGAGUGACGGUAAUGGGUAAAGAAGCACCGGCUAACUACGUGCCAGCAGCCGCGGUGAUACGUAGGGUGCGAGCGUUGUCCGGAUUUAUUGGGCGUAAAGGGCUCGUAGGUGGUUGAUCGCGUCGGAAGUGUAAUCUUGGGGCUUAACCCUGAGCGUGCUUUCGAUACGGGUUGACUUGAGGAAGGUAGGGGAGAAUGGAAUUCCUGGUGGAGCGGUGGAAUGCGCAGAUAUCAGGAGGAACACCAGUGGCGAAGGCGGUUCUCUGGGCCUUUCCUGACGCUGAGGAGCGAAAGCGUGGGGAGCGAACAGGCUUAGAUACCCUGGUAGUCCACGCUGUAAACGGUGGGUACUAGGUGUGGGGUCCAUUCCACGGGUUCCGUGCCGUAGCUAACGCUUUAAGUACCCCGCCUGGGGAGUACGGCCGCAAGGCUAAAACUCAAAGGAAUUGACGGGGCCCCGCACAAGCGGCGGAGCAUGCGGAUUAAUUCGAUGCAACGCGUAGAACCUUACCUGGGUUUGACAUGGAUCGGGAGCGCUCAGAGAUGGGUGUGCCUCUUUUGGGGUCGGUUCACAGGUGGUGCAUGGCUGUCGUCAGCUCGUGUCGUGAGAUGUUGGGUUAAGUCCCGCAACGAGCGCAACCCUUGUUCACUGUUGCCAGCACGUUAUGGUGGGGACUCAGUGGAGACCGCCGAGGUCAACUCGGAGGAAGGUGGGGAUGACGUCAAGUCAUCAUGCCCCUUAUGUCCAGGGCUUCACGCAUGCUACAAUGGCUGGUACAGAGAGUGGCGAGCCUGUGAGGGUGAGCGAAUCUCGGAAAGCCGGUCUCAGUUCGGAUUGGGGUCUGCAACUCGACCUCAUGAAGUCGGAGUCGCUAGUAAUCGCAGAUCAGCAACGCUGCGGUGAAUACGUUCCCGGGGCU